rnacentral:snRNA from 1 species
GUGCUUACUUUGGCAGCAAAUACACUGAAAUGGGAAUGAUACAGAGAAGAUGAGCAUGGGCCCUGAGCAAGGAUGACACACAAAUUCAUGAAGUGUUCCAUAUAUUU